rnacentral:lncRNA from 1 species
CCCAGUUUGGCAUCCCAUUCGAAUUUGAUUUAGAGCUUUCGGGUCCAAUCGGUAGAAUAUGCAACCCCCUCCUAGUUAGCUCUCUCUAUAUGAGGAGUCAUUUCAGACUGGUCUUAGACUCCCCCUUCCUAUAUUUGUUGUUGAGCUUUUUCUCUCUUUUGGCAUGGACUUGGGUUCAAUGGUCCUGAAUUUAUGGUAUUUCCUUAUCGACUUUUUGGUAGUCUAUUUUCUGGCAG